rnacentral:rRNA from 1 species
GAUGAACGCUGGCGGCGUGCCUAAUACAUGCAAGUCGAGCGAACGGACGAGAAGCUUGCUUCUCUGAUGUUAGCGGCGGACGGGUGAGUAACACGUGGAUAACCUACCUAUAAGACUGGGAUAACUUCGGGAAACCGUAGCUAAUACCGGAUAAUAUUUUGAACCGCAUGGUUCAAAAGUGAAAGACGGUCUUGCUGUCACUUAUAGAUGGAUCCGCGCUGCAUUAGCUAGUUGGUAAGGUAACGGCUUACCAAGGCAACGAUGCAUAGCCGACCUGAGAGGGUGAUCGGCCACACUGGAACUGAGACACGGUCCAGACUCCUACGGGAGGCAGCAGUAGGGAAUCUUCCGCAAUGAGCGAAAGCCUGACGGAGCAACGCCGCGUGAGUGAUGAAGGUCUUCGGAUCGUAAAACUCUGUUAUUAGUGAAGAACAUAUGUGUAAGUAACUGUGCACAUCUUGACGGUACCUAAUCAGAAAGCCACGGCUAACUACGUG